UACGUAGGGUGCGAGCGUUGUCCGGAAUUAUUGGGCGUAAAGAGCUCGUAGGCGGUCUGUCGCGUCAAUCGUGAAAACUUGGGGCUUAACCCUGAGCUUGCGGUCGAUACGGGCAUGACUGGAGUUCGGCAGGGGAGACUGGAAUUCCUGGUGUAGCGGUGAAAUGCGCAGAUAUCAGGAGGAACACCGGUGGCGAAGGCGGGUCUCUGGGCCGAUACUGACGCUGAGGAGCGAAAGCGUGGGGAGCGAACAGG
rnacentral:rRNA from 1 species